GAUGAACGCUAGCGGCAGGCUUAAUACAUGCAAGUCGUGGGGCAGCAGGUCCCGAGAAAUUGGGAUGCUGGCGACCGGCAAACGGGUGCGUAACACGUACGCAACUUUCCUUUAAGCGGGGAAUAGCCCAGAGAAAUUUGGAUUAAUACCCCAUAAAAUUUUGAGAUGGCAUCAUCUUAUUAUUAAAGCUUCGGCACUUGAAGAUGGGCGUGCGGCUGAUUAGGUAGUUGGCGGGGUAACGGCCCACCAAGCCAGCGAUCAGUAGCUGAUGUGAGAGCAUGAUCAGCCACACGGGCACUGAGACACGGGCCCGACUCCUACGGGAGGCAGCAGUAAGGAAUAUUGGUCAAUGGACGAAAGUCUGAACCAGCCAUGCCGCGUGGAGGAUGAAGGUCCUCUGGAUUGUAAACUUCUUUUAUCUGGGGACGAAAAAGGGAAUUUCUUUCUCACUUGACGGUACCAGAUGAAUAAGCACCGGCUAACUCCGUGCCAGCCGCCGCCGUAAC
rnacentral:rRNA from 1 species